AGGACGAACGCUGGCGGCGUGCUUAACACAUGCAAGUCGAACGAGAUCCAUUUGGUGGUAACACCAGAGAAGAUCUAGUGGUGAACGGGUGAGUAACACGUGAGCAACCUACCCCGAAGAUUGGGAUAACACCGGGAAACCGGUGCUAAUACCGGAUACCCCCAUCUGAUCGCAUGUUUGGAUGAGGAAAUGAAUCUUGCUUCGGGAGGGGCUCGCGGCCUAUCAGCUAGUUGGUGAGGUAACGGCUCACCAAGGCUAGGACGGGUAGCUGGUCUGAGAGGACGACCAGCCACAUUGGGACUGAGACACGGCCCAGA
rnacentral:rRNA from 1 species